ensembl:lncRNA
UCGGGCAGCUGACCCUGUCAGUCUUUGGAAAUACUGUUUACUCUGUAACUAAAGUUGGAUCCUGGGCACAAGUCACCAAAACGAAAUUUUAAGAGGCGUAAACCUCAUCCCCACUGAGACCUCUUCAUGAAAACAGGAGUUGUGAAGGUUCCCUAGAUGAUUUCUUGGUAAGAAUUCUCAGCAACUGUAGAGAUCUGGAGGCCAGAGUUGAAAAGUUUUACAAUAUAGCCAAUUAUCUAAUUUUUAGUGUACUGAUAAAAAUUCUUUAAGCUUCCUUAUGGACACAAAUGACAGAUGAGGAAAAGUUUACUGAAAAUGGAGUUUCUCUUCUGUUUGCUUCAACUGGAUUUUUUAAAGUAAGGUUGAAAGUCCUCCAGAAAUGAAAUGACAAUUGAUCCAGAGAAGGUAAGUCAGAAUUAUACAAAGGGUAGCUUGUGGCAGGCUGAACAAACCCCACAAGUGGGUGGGGCACUUGCCCUGAGAUCCAGCCUCCAGGAAACACCAAAGAGCAGGCUGUUGGUUCACAAACUAGCCUUAGCAUGGAGGGCGAGGAGAACAAGGCAGACACUCCAGACUGGCGGGUGGCAGGUUUAAUCAGUGAGGGACCUUACAACCGAGGCUUGUCUUUGGUGACCACAAGUUCAAUAAUUUGACAAUGACUGGAGGCACAGGAGAUCACGUCACUGUGCUGGUGCAGACAGCUUCCCAGAUGGACCGCACCAUCUACUGUCAGGAGCUUGGAGAGAAGUGAACAGAAUUCUGUACAGCAACACACCAAAGCAGGCUGAACCUGAGAAGUGCUGAAUUCGGAGAGUAAAUGAUGUGCGUUGAGAGCCAAAGAAGGAGACCACUUUGGUUAGGACAUUGGAGGUGAUUCCUCGAAGACUGGAGCUGGGUCACCCUAGUCCUUGCUGGUAAAAGUGGUCUUUGAACAGCAACAUGGACCUCACGUGGGGACUUGUGAAAAAUUCAGAAUCUCAGAUGCCAGGCCAGACCUACAGAGUCAGAAUCGGCCAUUUUGACAAGACCCCCAGAUGAUUCCUGUGGGCAUUAAAGUUUGAGAACCACUGAUUUCACUACUUUUGGAAUUGAUAGAGCUACAUGGGCCUAUUUCUCUUCAUCCUGUUCACAGCACCAACUGUCUCACUGUUCACACCGUCCGCACCCGGGUAGGCAAGGCGUGAGCUAAGAGGCCGGAAGAAGACCCGAGGAGCUGGAGGAGCUGCAGACGCAUUUAUUCUCUUCCGGCUGACACAGCAGCCGUACCAGUAUUCUCUCCUGACUCACGCGGCCGCGGUCGCAUUCACUCACGCGGCCGCGGUCGCAUUCACGCUGUAGUCUCGCCUCUCAUGGCCAACCCGAGGGACACGGCCCUGAUGCAGCAGUAAUUCCCGCUGCUUUUUGGGUAGCGCUCUUAUCUCCCUACAGCCCAAAGUAACUCACGACAGUGCAGGGUUAUAAAUGAGCUCAGCUGUUAGUCAUUAUUUACAAAAUGUGGGGCAAGAGCGAAAAGCCAGGGGGCAGGAGAGCCCGACACGCCAUCUUGGCUAAUUUGCUCUUUCCUUACAAGGGGUAAUGUAAUGGAGGCCAGACUAUGAAAGGGUGCUUGAGGAGAGGCCGGUAGGCUUGGAGAAUUUACAGAGUACAUAGGAGGAUUUAUGUCUGCUACUAACAGUAGAAAUAAAAACUCCACGACCACUUACUAUGAGCCAGUGAUUGUGCUGAGUGACUGAUGCAAUGCUGUCUCAUUUCAUGCUCUCAACAACCCGGUGAGGACGCUACAUCAUUUUUCAGAUGAGGAAGCUGAGACUUACAGAGGUUAAGUAACUUCUCAAGUUCUCACAGAAAAGAGCAAGCCACACUUUCCCUUGAGCCAGAGCUCUAGGCCACUCCCUGCUGUAAGCCUCAGAUUCUCUGGACCAGCCAUGAAUUCCGGUCCACGUCGUCCUGAUAAAGUUCCCCUGAAGAGCAACCAAAGGGCCUGCAUCUGACAGGUAUAUUCAAGGAAGCCCAAGCUCUGUCCCUCCAUACUUACCUUUUUCUCAAAGAAUCUUUCUCCUGAUAAAAUCAGGAGAGAAGACAGACAAGAUUGUUCUGGUGACUAAGGUAAUUGCUUUUUCACUAAAAAUUUAACUUUUAAAACAUUUUAUUAACAAGUUCACACACUGUAGAAAAUCUGGAAAAUACAAAGAAGUACAAAAAGGAAAAUUUUAAUUUUUUGUAAAGCUGCAACUCAGUUACACUACAGUUAAUGGUAAAGCACAUUUCUUUCCAGGUUUUUCUUUAUAUAGUUAGAAUUUUUAAUAUAAUUAGAAUGGGGACUG